UAAGGCGCAAUGAAAGUGAAGGUCAGGCAUCGCACUGACUGAGGCAGGAUCCGUCCGGGUGAGCGAAGCUCUUCUUCUCUUCGCGGGUUCGUCCCGCGGGGGAGCUCGGCGGCGCACUGCCAGCCCAUCUCGGCCGCUUCCCGUCGGCGAGGUGGAGCUAGAGCGCACACGUUGGGACCCGAAAGAUGGUGAACUAUGCUCGGGCAGGACGAAGCCAGAGGAAACUCUGGUGGAGGUCCGUAGCGAUUCUGACGUGCAAAUCGAUCGUCGGACCCGAGUAUAGGGGCGAAAGACUAAUCGAACCGUCUAGUAGCUG
rnacentral:rRNA from 1 species